GAUGAACGCUGGCGGCGUGCUUAACACAUGCAAGUCGAACGGUGAAGCAGAGCUUGCUCUGUGGAUCAGUGGCGAACGGGUGAGUAACACGUGAGCAACCUGCCCCGGACUCUGGGAUAAGCGCUGGAAACGGCGUCUAAUACCGGAUACGAGAUUCCACCGCAUGGUGAGUUUAUGGAAAGAUUUUUUGGUCUGGGAUGGGUUCACGGCCUAUCAGCUUGUUGGUGAGGUAAUGGCUCACCAAGGCGUCGACGGGUAGCCGGCCUGAGAGGGUGACCGGCCACACUGGGACUGAGACACGGCCCAGACUCCUACGGGAGGCAGCAGUGGGGAAUAUUGCACAAUGGGCGGAAGCCUGAUGCAGCAACGCCGCGUGAGGGAUGACGGCCUUCGGGUUGUAAACCUCUUUUAGCAGGGAAGAAGCGAAAGUGACGGUACCUGCAGAAAAAGCGCCGGCUAACUACGUGCCAGCAGCCGCCGUAA
rnacentral:rRNA from 1 species